GAUCCAACUGAUUAUGUUACACAAUCUGGUAUGGUAAAGGAUGCCACGAAAAUGGAUGUUGAGAUGAAGCCUAAAAAAUUCUGUGAAUGAUAGGUCUGAUGCUGAUCACCAUGAAAUGGCUAGGAAUUCUGGGACUACUGCUAUAUCUGAUACACCAAAUGCAGCAAAUCCAGUUGCGCACAAUGCUGGGGUUCUUGCUGUUCGAGGACACCAAAUUGAUGAUGUUGGUCCAGCUGAAGAAAUGCCAAAUGCUGAUUUAGCACAGAAGAGUAAAUCUGCUGUUUCAUCCAAUUUCAAUAUUCC
rnacentral:lncRNA from 1 species